rnacentral:rRNA from 1 species
CCUACGGGGUGCAGCAAUGAGGAAUAUUGGUCAAUGGACGAGAGUCUGAACCAGCCAAGUAGCGUGAAGGAUGACUGCCCUAUGGGUUGUAAACUUCUUUUAUAAAGGAAUAAAACGAGGCACGUGUGCCUUUUUGCAUGUACUUUAUGAAUAAGGAUCGGCUAACUCCGUGCCAGCAGCCGGGGUAAUACGGAGGAUCCGAGCGUUAUCCGGAUUUAUUGGGUUUAAAGGGAGCGUAGAUGGGUUGUUAAGUCAGUUGUGAAAGUUUGCGGCUCAACCGUAAAAUUGCAAUUGAUACUGGCAGUCUUGAGUACAGUUGAGGUAGGCGGAAUUCGAGGUGUAGGGGUGAAAUCCGUAGAUAUCAGGAAGAACACCAGUGGCGAAGGCGACUAUCUGACACAUAACUGACGCUGAGGAGCGAAAGCGUGGGUAGCAAACAGGAUUAGAUACCCGAGUAGUC